AUUGAACGCUGGCGGCAGGCCUAACACAUGCACGUCGAGCGGAGCGGCGGACGGGUGAGUAAUACCUAGGAAUCUGCCUGGUAGUGGGGGCUAACGUUCGGACACGGACGCUAAUACCGCCUACUAUCAGCUGAGCCUAGGUCGGAUUCGCUAGUUGGUGAGGUAAUGGCUCACCAAGGCUACGAUCCGUACCUGGUCUGAGUGGAUGAUCAGUCACACUGGAACUAGGACACGGUCCAGACUCCUACGGGCGGCAGCAGUGGGGAAUAUUAGAAAAUGGGCGAAGGUCUUAUCGAGCCAUGCCGUGUGUGUGAAGAAGGGCUUCGGAUUGUAAAGCACUUUAGGUUGGGAGGGGUUACCGACAGGAUAAGCACCGGCGAACUCGGUGCCAGCAGCCGCGGUAAUUC
rnacentral:rRNA from 1 species